GGGCUUACGAGCUACCGGAAGAAGUCUGCGCUUCACUUCCCGUGACGUCACCCGUAGUUCCUCCUAAAGCCGACCGGGAAAUGUAGUCCCACGAACUAGAAAAGCUGAAUGAAGAGAAUAAGAGGUGGAGGACAGGAAGACCUGGAGGAAUGUUGUCCAUGGGGUCACGAUGGGUCGGCCGCAUCUCACAACUAACAACAACAACACUUUGAACUGUGUUAGACGUCUUUGCUGGCUGCUUAUACAGUGCUGCACAUCAGAGAUCUCCUUGCUUUGAGUGCAUAUCUGGCAAUCUGAAAAAAUGUUCUGAGCAUCUUCACAAAAAUGACUGCCAUGUGAGGUGCAGUUAAUCACAAGAGAAAUAACCAGCCCAAAAGACUGACGAAGAAAUGGAUUCUGCGCACCAACAAGCAAAAUUCUUCCUUCAAAUCCAGAGUUUUCUAUGGCAACAGAAACCUUAAUAAAAGAAAGUAAAUCUUUCCCUC